CUGUGGGGGCCAGGACUGGGGAACCUAAUGUUUGCCUCAUCGUUCUGCUAUGGCCUCUCGAUACAGCACAUCUGGAUUCCGGGGCCCAGAUGUGUGGUUACCACAGCGACCUUGGUCCCACUGGAAGAAGCUACAGAAGUCCAGACCUCCCACCCUGCAGCAAGUCCUUCAAGAAGCCACUCUGUUUGCUUCUGGCUCAAGUCCUCAGCCCCAGCCUUUCCCAGAGCUGUACAGGAGGGGAGAGAGAGCCCAGUUCUGGAAUCAGAAGCCCACCUUCACCACCGUCAAAGUCCUGGACAGAGACCCGACAUCUGGGAGCCUCUGUUUGCUCACCACGAAGUGGGAUUAAUAAAAUGCCAGCUCUGUAGGAAACCGCUGUGUAAACGGGAGCCAGUGCAAAUGUUUCCUAUCUCUCCCCUCUUGGGGCUGCUUCCUUGGAUCAGAGCCUCUGGCCUCUCUGUUUCUCUUCUUCAGGUCCUUGCCCUUGAUUGCCCUUCCUCUUUAUCUUCUGCUCUCUUCCUCUUUCCCCUUUUCUUUUCUCUUCCUCUUUUCUUUCUUUCCUCCUUUCUUUUCUUUUUCACUUAUGUUUUUGGAGACAGGGUCUCACUAUGUAGUUCAGGCUAGACCUGAACUUGCUGUGUAGCUCAGGCUGGCCUUGAACCUGUGGCGCUCCUCCUGCCGCUUUUCUGCCUACGUCUUCCAUCCUGUAACCUGAGGUCCAGAGCGGCACCUGGAGGGUCGGUCAAGGAUGGAGGCUGAGAGCUGCGGACACCUAGACUGAGGGAGCUGGAGCAGUCCAAGUCAGGGACAGUUCUGGACAGUCCAUGCCCUCUGCUUGCCACCCAGGACAUGCCCAUGGAGCCAGCCCAGUCUGACCUGUGGGCUUCCUGCCCUCUGGCCUGUGGUUCCCUAUCCUGUCCUAACCCUUUCACAGUCUGUGACUGACAAGCCUUUACUAGGCACCUGCUGUGUGGGGCUUGGUGCUUUUCUGAUGAGAACCAUCCGUAAGACAGGAGAGGUCCUGCUGGGCACGGUGGCCAUGCUGUGAUCCCAGCUCUCCGGAGGCAGCAGGAGGACCUCCAUGAGGUCGAGGCCAGCCUGAAGUACAUGGUGAGACCAUCGCAAACAAGCAAAAAACAAGGUCCUCCAAGAGACUGAAAUCCAGAUGAGUCAAAUUUUAAGCAAUGAGUAUUUCAGAACCUGGAACUAUGCCAAGCCUCCAGUGGCUCCCCCAAAUGCCCUGUAAACUCAAACAUCUGGAACUCCACAUUCCUGCCUGACACCCCCACACCCAGUCCCCAGCAGUGAGUUUCCAGAGCACCCCAGGGUCAUCCUGCUGGCUCUUGCUGGUCUCCAGAGCCUCCUGAUCUCUGGCCAGGGGUACUUAUGGUGACCAUACUGGCUGAAUAGGGCUGAGGCUGGCUCAGGAAGGUGCAUCCACUCAGCACACGUCUGAAGUAGGGAGGUGUCAGAGGACAGUGACAUUCUGCGCACGCCACUGUCCCCGUGCAAGGCUGCUUCGAGACCUCCCUCACCUCCGCGCUCACCAGGGCCACUACCUACUCAGGCUCUGGGGGCAUCAGGCCGAGGUGGAGGAAGGAAGCUGCGCCCAGCUCUGUCCAAGAGGCUGACAUCAUCUUCCCCAUCAAAGCCAGGAAAAAACAGCCACACACACCCAGACACACGGACAUACACGGGGACAUCAUGCAAGCGCCCAUGUGUGUUCCCGUCCUCAGCCACAUGCUGUGCAGCGCCCUAUGACUCGGGGCUGCACGCCUGACCCAAGGCAGGCACACCUGUGCCUGGGCCCACGUGUGGCGCCACUGGGCCGGUCGUGUCCCUUCUCCACACUUGUCCCUUGGCCAAGGGGACCUGGCGCAGUCAGAGGCGCUAGGGGACUUCUCGGUGCAAAGCCUGGAGUGGGCUCCUGUCGGCUGGAUGUCUCUCUUCCAUGGCAAAGGCCACCUCCCCAACUGGGGCAGGGCAGCCCCAGCCGAGCGGGCUUCCAAGGGACCUGGUUCUCUGCUGAGUCUGCCCGUCUGUUCUGCCCUUUCCUCCAGCCCCUAAUGUUCUCCCUGCCCACCCUCCAGGCAUCCUUCCCUUCUGCUUUCCUCAGCUUCGCCCCGUGGUGUGCCCCCAUCUGCAACUCCUGCCUCUACACCUUGCUCCCACCCCUCAGGCUUUCUUUCUCCCUGGUGUUCAGCCAAGUCCUUGCCCGGUCAGCAACCCAUCCCACCACCACGUCUCUAGGAAUUUGCUGCGGUGGGAAGAUGGAAAGGGAGUAGGAACCUCAAGAUAAGAACCGUUUGACAUACAGAUCAGCGAGGCAUAUAGGACUCCAACUAGCAAUGUUCAAAAAAAAAGAGAAAGAAAAGAAAUCUACACCUAGACAUACAAUAAUCAAGAUCCCAGAGACUCAAGAACAGGAGACUGGCGGGGAAGGACACGGGUGGUUCAGAGGGGCACGUGGACAGACGGAUGGACGGACGGGGAAAGCAGGGGUGCAGGUGGAGCAGUGGUGAGACGGAAGUGGGCUCAGCACAGAAACAUCUGGAACCCCACAUCGUGUGACCCCAGCUGCUAAAGAAUCAGGACAAAGAAGCCCAAGCUGAGCAACAGAUGGGGGUGAGAUCCAGAGGGAGAAGAACGCAAGUGCCACAGGUGGGGAGCGACAGGACGGAGGGAAACGGCACAAGGGAUGUGAGGUCGGGCAGAAACCAGGGUCGGGAAAAGGAGACACAGUGGAAAGGGGACAGGAGAGCGAGGUGGGACUCGGUGGGACUCGGCGGUGCUGGCAGGAGGCAGGGAGGGUGACGUCUGGGAGGGAGGGAGGCCCUGGCCCAGCCGUGCUCCCUCCCUGACCUCACUCACCCUCCCCUUCUCCUCCCCCUGCGCCUCCGGCUCCCUCCUUCUUUCCGCUGCCGCCCAGAUCCAGGGUCGGUCAGUCUCGGUGUGGCUUGGUGAGCCUCUGCUGUGAGGGACGAGUGAGAGGACCUCCCGGGAGUCCAGAACUGCCAGGGGGAGCCCUCCCAGCCCUGCGGGGCAGCUGCCUCCCGGAGCUGGGGACAGAGCAGGUGCAGAGGCGCGGCAGCCGCCCACGGUCCAGGUAAGGCGGCGCCCUGGAGACCCACACUGGCUGUACUGCACCCGGCCAGGGCGUGUGGGGCGCGGAUGUGUCCCGGGCAGCAGCCCCGCAGCUCCACGGGCAGGGAGAGCCCAGUAGGCAGGGGCAGAGGUGUGCUGGAGGCAGUGGGUUCCGGGUCUGAGCGUGAUGCCGGCGCCGAGAGGGCUGGGGACAAACUGAGGUGCCGACCGCGCGCCGGGGUGCAGACACUGACUGGUGGGGUGCCAGGCUGAGCUGAGGCCAGCUGGACUGGGGAAGCGCGGUCGGGGUCCCCAUCCCGCGGCUGGAGCUGCUGAGCAGGGCUCCCCGGGUGCCAGAGGGGCUCCCCGGGUCCAGAUGGGGUCGCCCCGUGACCGGUGGCCGCAGCAGGUCCCAGGCCUGGGCGGGGUCUGGGAGGCUGCAGCCCGCGGGCAACGCUGAGUGAGGUAGGUUGGGGAAGGGCACGCAGCCUGCAGUCGGAUCCCUAAACUUGUUCUUGGCCGGGUGUGCUGUGCUCAUGACUCACAGUUCAGCGCAGAGCGAGGUUGGGGCGCGGGGCUCCGGCUCCUCUGUCCCCUCCCGGGCUCUCCCAGCUGCCCCCCCGACACACGUGACGCGCCGGGAGGGCCGGGCAGGGUCUUAUCUCGUCCGGAAAGAAUUUAAUGGCUUAGAAACAACUCAGUGGAAGUAGGACUGAGGAAACCACUGGGAAGCAGCUCAGAAACGUCCGCGCUGUGGGCUGUGACUGCCAGCCCGGCUUCCCCGACCUGCCCCCAGUCCCCCGCAGCACCUCUGCCCCUCGACUCCCUUCCUCUCACCUCCGCGCGCGGUCUGUGUGGGAUCAGACCAGCCUUCCUGUCUCUCACGGUUCUCCUGACCUUUCCCACUGCGGGGCUGGACCCGUCGCUCACUCUCCUGAAAAGGGGCGUCCGGGCCCCCAACUCCUCACUGGCACCUGCUGAUUUCCUGGUUUGAACCCUGUACCUGAGACCCCUGGUCCCCACCCACAGACUCCCCC
ensembl:lincRNA